rnacentral:rRNA from 1 species
GACGAACGCUGGCGGCGUGCUUAACACAUGCAAGUCGAACGGAAAGGCCCUGCUUUUGUGGGGUGCUCGAGUGGCGAACGGGUGAGUAACGCGUGAGUAACCUGCCCUUGACUUUGGGAUGACUUCAGGAAACUGGGGCUAAUACCGGAUAGGAGCUCCUGCUGCAUGGUGGGGGUUGGAAAGUUUCGGCGGUUGGGGAUGGACUCGCGGCUUAUCAGCUUGUUGGUGGGGUAGUGGCUUACCAAGGCUUUGACGGGUAGCCGGCCUGAGAGGGUGACCGGCCACAUUGGGACUGAGAUACGGCCCAGACUCCUACGGGAGGCAGCAGUGGGGAAUAUUGCACAAUGGGCGGAAGCCUGAUGCAGCAACGCCGCGUGCGGGAUGACGGCCUUCGGGUUGUAAACCGCUUUCGCCUGUGACGAAGCGUGAGUGACGGUAAUGGGUAAAGAAGCACCGGCUAACUACGUG